AGGCUGUUAGUCCAAAAUAAGACUCCUGAUUUCGGCUCAGAUGAUUAUGGUUUAAGUCCAUGACUGCCUU
rnacentral:tRNA from 1 species